rnacentral:tRNA from 1 species
AACCAAUCAUUUCCGUAAAGGAUUUUAUCUUUAUUUGACUUUUCUUUCACUUAUUAUUUUCUUAUUAUGACUG